UGCUGAGUUAAACCCUGUUUUUGACUAAAACUUUUUCCACAGUUCACACAUGAAAAUGGCUUUUCACCAGUGUGAAUUACCAUGUGACGAGUUAAAUUCCGUUUUCGACUAAAACUUUUUCCACAAGUUUCACAGGAGAAAAGUUUCCUUCCUUCCUGAUUCUGGUUCUCAGCUUCAGCAGCUUCCUGGAAGAUGACUUGGUUCCUGUUUGGUUCAGAUUCAGUGUGGGAUGUUUGUUCAUAAACAGUAACCAACAUGUAGGUAUCAGUCUCCUGUUUUAACUCAAUCUGUUCUUCACCCUGACUGCAGUAAACUUCUUCCUCUUCCACUUUUAUCUUCUGAUGUUCUAGAUCCUCCUGCUCUUCUUUUAUCUGAUGAUCUUCUGGUUCUUC